UGGAGGGGAUGAAUUAAAACCUUUAUUACAUUGUUUUCUAAAGAAUCAGCAUGGAUGUCUAGAUCUGGUUUAUUGCUCGAAAAAAUUGGAGACCAACUAAACAUUUAAGGGUUUACUCCAUUUUAGAUCGGAUGAUUUCACUAUUAAGAGAAAUUGAUUGCAUUUAACCCCUCUUGUAUCAUCUUAAAGUAUUUCCUAAUGCAAAAGGAGACGAUGAAGAAGAGUCAUUUGAUAUUAUUUCAAACAUUGAAUUAAUGUGUCAUGAAUGAUCUAGCACAUAAAUUUUAUGACGAGUACAAGUUUGAUUUGAAGCAACUGAAACUAUAAAUGGUGAUGGGAUAUAAAUGCUAUUCUCCUUACUUAAUGAAAGUUGCUCUCUAUAGUUGACCACCAGUCCAGAUUUCUAUCGCUAGAUUCAGGAGAGUGGUGAUCUCUACAAUCUAUCAGAUACUAAAACACUUAUGGAGAUUUUCAUUAAGUUUAACAUUUGAAGAAGGAUUUACUGAUCAUACAAAAGUUUAUCUAAAGAAGAUAAUUAAGAAUCUGUGUUAUAAAUCUCAUAUUCGAUGGAGUAUAUAGUUCUCGUUACUGUGAGUAUUCUGGAAAGUUUUCAUGGUUACUGGAAUAGCUUCUAGUAAUCGGGAUAUAGGGUUCCCCUAAUAAAGAUUUCCUUAUCUAUUAUUAUGAACAAGUGGUCUUGGAUUUGUAUUGAAAAUGUCACUCAACUUUUUUUUUUUUUUUUUUGUAACAUCAUUUUUUGAUGGUUAUGCGUCUAAUAGAAAGUUUUUGGAGGAGCUAUAAAUGAAUUAAGGAAAAAAACUUAAUAUAAAGGAACUAAAAUGCCCAGAUUGUGAUGCAAAACAGUUUUAAGUAAUUGAAUUGUUAUACAAGAAAAAAUUGUCAUCUUCAUUUCGUUAUGCUUAUCAACUAAAUCAUAAAGUUAUCAACACAAAACCCAUGGAGAGAUUCUGUUUUAAUAAGCUUUUGAAUAAAUUGUUGUUGUCUCAUCUUUAAAAUAUUUAAUUUUUAUUGUUAAAAUAUAUGAGGAAUAAAUAUUUCA
rnacentral:lncRNA from 1 species